AGAGUUUGAUUCUGGCUCAGAACGAACGCUGGCGGCGUGGAUAAGACAUGCAAGUCGAACGAGAGAAUUGCUAGCUUGCUAAUAAUUCUCUAGUGGCGCACGGGUGAGUAACACGUGAGUAACCUGCCCCCGAGAGCGGGAUAGCCCUGGGAAACUGGGAUUAAUACCGCAUAGUAUCGAAAGAUUAAAGCAGCAAUGCGCUUGGGGAUGGGCUCGCGGCCUAUUAGUUAGUUGGUGAGGUAACGGCUCACCAAGGCGAUGACGGGUAGCCGGUCUGAGAGGAUGUCCGGCCACACUGGAACUGAGACACGGUCCAGACACCUACGGGUGGCAGCAGUCGAGAAUCAUUCACAAUGGGGGAAACCCUGAUGGUGCGACGCCGCGUGGGGGAAUGAAGGUCUUCGGAUUGUAAACCCCUGUCAUGUGGGAGCAAAUUAAAAAGAUAGUACCACAAGAGGAAGAGACGGCUAACUCUGUGCCAGCAGCCGCGGUAAUACAGAGGUCUCAAGCGUUGUUCGGAAUCACUGGGCGUAAAGCGUGCGUAGGCUGUUUCGUAAGUCGUGUGUGAAAGGCGCGGGCUCAACCCGCGGACGGCACAUGAUACUGCGAGACUAGAGUAAUGGAGGGGGAACCGGAAUUCUCGGUGUAGCAGUGAAAUGCGUAGAUAUCGAGAGGAACACUCGUGGCGAAGGCGGGUUCCUGGACAUUAACUGACGCUGAGGCACGAAGGCCAGGGGAGCGAAAGGGAUUAGAUACCCCUGUAGUCCUGGCAGUAAACGGUGCACGCUUGGUGUGCGGGGAAUCGACCCCCUGCGUGCCGGAGCUAACGCGUUAAGCGUGCCGCCUGGGGAGUACGGUCGCAAGAUUAAAACUCAAAGAAAUUGACGGGGACCCGCACAAGCGGUGGAGUAUGUGGCUUAAUUCGAUGCAACGCGAAGAACCUUACCUGGGCUUGACAUGUAAUGAACAACAUGUGAAAGCAUGCGACUCUUCGGAGGCGUUACACAGGUGCUGCAUGGCCGUCGUCAGCUCGUGUCGUGAGAUGUUUGGUUAAGUCCAGCAACGAGCGCAACCCCUGUUGCCAGUUACCAGCACGUGAAGGUGGGGACUCUGGCGAGACUGCCCAGAUCAACUGGGAGGAAGGUGGGGACGACGUCAGGUCAGUAUGGCCCUUAUGCCCAGGGCUGCACACGUACUACAAUGCCCAGUACAGAGGGGGCCGAAGCCGCGAGGCGGAGGAAAUCCUAAAAACUGGGCCCAGUUCGGACUGUAGGCUGCAACCCGCCUACACGAAGCCGGAAUCGCUAGUAAUGGCGCAUCAGCUACGGCGCCGUGAAUACGUUCCCGGGUCUUGUACACACCGCCCGUCACAUCAUGGAAGCCGGUCGCACCCGAAGUAUCUGAAGCCAACCGCAAGGAGGCAGGGUCCUAAGGUGAGACUGGUAACUGGGAUGAAGUCGUAACAAGGUAGCCGUAGGGGAACCUGCGGCUGGAUCACCUCCUUU
rnacentral:rRNA from 2 species